rnacentral:rRNA from 1 species
GGCUCAGGAUUAAUGCUGGUGGUAUGCAUAACACAUGCAAGUCGAACGAGUAGAACUUGUUCUGCUAGUGGCAAACGGGCGAGUAAUACAUAUUUAACUUACUUCCUCGAGUAGGAUAGCAGCCCGAAAGGGCUAUUAAUACUACAUAGGUUUAUGGACUUGUAAAUUAAAGGAUGCGCCCUCGGGAACCUCGCGCGGAAAAGGGAAUAUGUCCUAUUAGGUAGUUGGCGGGGUAAAGGCCCACCAAGCCAACGAUGGAUAGCUGGACUGAGAGGUUGAACAGCCGCAAUGGGAUUGAGAUAUGGUCCAUAUUCCUACGGGAAGCAACAGUGAGGAAUUUUUCACAAUGGACGAAAGUCUGAUGGAGCAAUACCACGUGAACGAUGAAGGUCUUCUGAUUGUAAAGUUCUUUUAUUUAGGAAAAAAGCGCGCCCUUAUGGUACUCAUUGAAUAAGUGACAGCUAACUAUGUGCCAGUAGUUGCGGUAAAACAUAGGUCACAAGCAUUAUCCGGAUUUAUUGGGCGUAAAGGAAGCGUAGUCGGGGAGGCUGAUCCAUUGUUAAAGGCAUUUGCUCAACAAAUGUGUGCGAUGGAGAUCUCCUCCUUAGAGUUAAUCAAGGGGUA